rnacentral:rRNA from 1 species
AGCAGCCGCGGUAAUUCCAGCUCCAAUAGCGUAUAUUAAAGUUGUUGCAGUUAAAAAGCUCGUAGUUGAAUUUCGGGAUCAAAUUGUCGGUCGUGCCUCGGUACGUACUGGUAUUAUUGGUUCCUACCUUCUGAAGAACCGCGAUGUCAUUAAUUUGGUGUCGUGGGGAAUCAGGACUGUUACUUUGAAAAAUUAGAGUGUUUAAAGCAAGCGCACGCUUGAAUACAUUAGCAUGGAAUAAUGAAAUAGGACGUUUGAUUCUAUUUUGUUGGUUUCUAGGAUCGACGUAAUGAUUAAUAGGGAUAGUUGGGGGCAUUAGUAUUCAAUUGUCAGAGGUGAAAUUCUUGGAUUUAUUGAAGACUAACUACUGCGAAAGCAUUUGCCAAGGAUGUUUUCAUUAAUCAAGAACGAAAGUUAGGGGAUCGAAGACGAUCAGAUACCGUCGUAGUCUUAACCAUAAACUAUGCCGAC